GACCCCAUGGCUUAGCCUGGCUAUAGCACUCGACUGAUAAUCGAGAGGUCGUGAGUUCAAAUCUCACUGGGGUCA
rnacentral:tRNA from 1 species